rnacentral:rRNA from 1 species
AACUAACGCUGGCGGCGUGCCUAACACAUGCAAGUCGUACGAGAAAGCCGGCUUCGGCUGGUGAGUAAAGUGGCGCACGGGUGAGUAACGCGUGGAUAAUCUGCCCUUAAGUGUGGAAUAGCGUACCGAAAGGUGCGCUAAUACCGCAUAAUGCCUGGCAACACAAGUUGUCCGGCCAAAGAAGGCCUCUGUUUACAAGCUUUCGCUUCAGGAUGAGUCCGCGUACCAUUAGCUUGUUGGUGGGGUAAUGGCCUACCAAGGCUGCGAUGGUUAGCUGGUCUGAGAGGAUGAUCAGCCACACUGGAACUGAGACACGGUCCAGACUCCUACGGGAGGCAGCAGUGAGGAAUAUUGCGCAAUGGGGGCAACCCUGACGCAGCAACGCCGCGUGAGUGAGGAAGGUUUUCGGACUGUAAAGCUCUGUCGAGCGGGAAGAAGUGUACCAUGGCUAAUAUCCAUGAUAUUUGACGGUACCG